rnacentral:rRNA from 1 species
GAUGAACGCUGGCGGCGUGCCUAAUACAUGCAAGUCGAGCGAACGGACGAGAAGCUUGCCUCUCUGAUGUUAGCGGCGGGCGGGUGAGUAACACGUGGAUAACCUACCUAUAAGACUGGGAUAACUUCGGGAAACCGGAGCUAAUACCGGAUAAUAUUUUGAACCGCAUGGUUCAAAAGUGAAAGACGGUCUUGCUGUCACUUAUAGAUGGAUCCGCGCUGCAUUAGCUAGUUGGUAAGGUAACGGCUUACCAAGGCAACGAUGCAUAGCCGACCUGAGAGGGUGAUCGGCCACACUGGAACUGAGACACGGUCCAGACUCCUACGGGAGGCAGCAGUAGGGAAUCUUCCGCAAUGGGCGGAAGCCUGACGGAGCAACGCCGCGUGAGUGAUGAAGGUCUUCGGAUCGUAAAACUCUGUUAUUAGGGAAGAACAUAUGUGUAAGUAACUGUGCACAUCUUGACGGUACCUAAUCAGAAAGCCACGGCUAACUACGUG